ensembl:rRNA 5S_rRNA 5S ribosomal RNA
AUCUAUGGCCAUACCACCCUGAAGGCACCCAAUCUCAUCUGAUCUCAGAAGCUAAGCAGGGUUGGGCCUGGUUAGUACUUGGAUGGGUGGGAGACUGCUGGGAAUACCGGGUGCUGUAGGGU